rnacentral:rRNA from 1 species
AACAAACGCUGGCGGCGUGCCUAAUACAUGCAAGUCGAACGGGGAAAGCUUUCGGGUGAGUACUAGUGGCGCACGGGUGAGUAACGCGUGGAUAAUCUGCCUUAGAGUGGGGGAUAACUAGUCGAAAGAUUAGCUAAUACCGCAUAAGACCACAAGAGAUGCGGUUCAAGGGGUCAAAGGUUUUUCGCUCUAAGAUGAGUCCGCGUAAGAUUAGCUAGUUGGUAGGGUAACGGCCUAACAAGGCGACGAUCUUUAACUGGGCUGAGAGGAUGAUCAGUCACACUGGAACUGAGACACGGUCCAGACUCCUACGGGAGGCAGCAGUAGGGAAUAUUGCACAAUGGAGGAAACUCUGAUGCAGCGACGCCGCGUGAGUGAUGAAGGCCUUCGGGUCGUAAAGCUCUGUCGCAGGGGAAUAACACAAUGAAGGUACCCUGUAAGAAAGGAUCGGCUAACUUCGUGCCAGCAGCCGCAGUAAAAC